UGCCAGCAGCCGCGGUAAUACGAAGGGUGCAAGCGUUACUCGGAAUUACUGGGCGUAAAGCGUGCGUAGGUGGUUUGUUAAGUCUGAUGUGAAAGCCCUGGGCUCAACCUGGGAAUGGCAUUGGAAACUGGCAGUCUAGAGUGCGGUAGAGGGUAGCGGAAUUCCCGGUGUAGCAGUGAAAUGCGUAGAUAUCGGGAGGAACAUCCGUGGCGAAGGCGGCUACCUGGACCAGCACUGACACUGAGGCACGAAAGCGUGGGGAGCAAACAGGAUUAGAUA
rnacentral:rRNA from 1 species